rnacentral:misc_RNA from 1 species
AGGAUUUCUCUAACAAAAUGUUUGUGUUGUUCUACUUAAAGAAAAAGGAAAAACAGAAUUCAGUAGACAAAGAGAUUAAUUGGCCUGAGCUCAAGGCAUGUAUUUAUAAACGGCGCUAAGCUUGGCCAUAAUAUGGUCUAAGAUUUUACUAUAGUCCCUGUUCAUUCUGGAGAUGGGUUUAAACUUGUUGCUAGAUCUCACUCAUUGUUUCAAACCGUGCUCCCAAAAAAGACUGUCCACUGAAG